rnacentral:rRNA from 1 species
GACGAACGCUGGCGGCGUGCUUAACACAUGCAAGUCGAACGGAAAGGCCCUGCUUUUGUGGGGUGCUCGAGUGGCGAACGGGUGAGUAACACGUGAGUAACCUGCCCUUGACUUUGGGAUAACUUCAGGAAACUGGGGCUAAUACCGGAUAGGAGCUCCUGCUGCAUGGUGGGGGUUGGAAAGUUUCGGCGGUUGGGGAUGGACUCGCGGCUUAUCAGCUUGUUGGUGGGGUAGUGGCUUACCAAGGCUUUGACGGGUAGCCGGCCUGAGAGGGUGACCGGCCAAAUGGGGACGGAGAUACGGCCCAGACUCCUACGGGGGGCAGAGGGGGGGAAUAUUGCAAAAGGGGGGGAAGCCUGAUGCAGCAACGCCGGGGGGGGGAGGACGGCCUUGGGGUUGUAAAUCGCUUUCGCCUGGGACGAAGCGGGGGGGACGGUAAUGGGUAAAGAAGCACCGGCUAACUACGU